rnacentral:lncRNA from 1 species
UAGUAAGGACGUACACUUACCCGCUAAACCUCUACCGUAAUCUGCAUCCUCCACACGUUCCUAUGGGGACAUCACAAUGAUGGGAAUUUCUCUGCGAAUACACUUUACAACUGGGACUAAGAGAAAGAGCUGGAAGUUCUACAGGUCCUUGGAGCACAAUCUGGCUCCUACCAAGGUGAAAUGCUUCACUUGGUUUUCAAAAUGAUAGUUUUCAACUUCUUGAUUUUCUUUCCCAGAAUCGUAACGUACAGCCUCUUGGUUGUUAUAAACUCCAUUUCUUCAACAUUCUCCCCCAAAAUACUAAUUUUGACAGCCUCUUGGACAAUGGAAAAUCAAUCUCUAAGUUUCUUCUUCAAACUGUCCCCUCCAACACUAAUAGCCUCCAUGUCAUCAACUAUGUUUUAGUAAGGUCCUGAAGAAUUAAAAGAGGAAGGUAUCAUGACGAAUUGAGUCUAUUAACACUUAGCUAGACUUCUUUUCUUCAGUGUUGAUAGCUAUGAGAACACCGCGUUGGAAAAAAAACAUGACAGGAAAGAAAAACUCAUAAAAAGCCUCUAUCGUCCUAGAAAAUCAAUAACUUUCGACAAGGAAAGGGAUAAAGACUACAAUAACAUACCCAAUAUAAUCGCACAAAGUGUGGUCUAAGGAGCGUAAAGUGUAAGCAUACCUUAUCCCUACCACCACCAGGAAAAGGACAAAUAUCAGGAAAUGGAUUCUCCAAAUCAUAUGCACGGCUGAUUGGAACCUAGUGGGCAGUAAACAACCUCCAGGCAUAAUUGAAUCACUCUGUUAGCUUAUAUGCUCUAGUAAAAUACAAAGAUAGGCUAGAAUUUAUCACCUCAUCUUGCAUUCUUGCUAUAAAUACAAUUUUAAUAACACAACUCCAAUAAAAAACUAAGUUAGUAUUGCUCAAUAAAAGAUCAACUUUCUCCUCCAAAAUACUCCCUCCGUUUCGGAAUAAGUGAAUUGUUGGGGUAUUUAUUGGUGUUUCAAAAUAAGUGAAUCAUUAAAAUUUUUUUCAAAUUUACCCUUAUGAUUUGACAACCAAUUAACUUUUGAAAAGGUAUUACAAGGUCAAUUUUUUCUUUUUUUGGGGUAAAAAUGAAAAGUUGUGUUAAAUUUAUGUCUUUAAUGUUUUUUCCUUAAACUAUGUGCCAAAAUCCAACAAUUCAUUUAUUAUGAAACGGAGGGAGUACUAAUUUUGGCGGCCUCUUGGACAUUGACAAAAUCAAUCUCUUCAAGUUUCUUCUUCAAACUUGCACUGUCCCCUUCACAACUAAUAUCCUCCAAGUCAUCAACUAUGUCACGAAGAAUUGAAAGAAACAAAAGGAUCAUGAAGAAUUGAGUUGAGUCUAUCGACACUUUGCUAGAUUUCUUUGUGCUACGAGAACACCACAUUGGAAAAAAGGAAAUGAACGGAAAAUAUAACUCAUGAAAAUCCUCUAUCGUAGAAAAUCAAUAACUUUUACAUUCGACAAAGAAAAGGACAAAGACAAAAACAUACUCAAUAUAAGGUACAAGGCACAUGAACAUCAGUUUGAUUGUUUUCAACAUCAUCUUACCAACAAGAAACAAACCUUAUGAAACCAAAAUGAUAGUUUUCAACUUCUUAAUUUUCUUCUCCGAGAUCACAACUUUCCAGCCUCUUGGCUGAUAUAAACUCCAUUUCAACUUUUUUUCUCCAAAAUACUAAUUUUGGCAGGCUCUUGAACAUUGACAAAAUCAGUCUCUUCUUCAAAUUGUCACAUCCAACACUUAUAGCCUCCAUCAUCGACUAUGUUCCUCAUAUGGUCAUGAAGAAUUGAAAGAAAGGGAUCGUGAAGAAUUGAGCCUAUCAACACUUUGCUAGACCUUUUCUCUUCAUUUUUGAUUG